rnacentral:rRNA from 1 species
UGGCGGACGGGUGAGUAACGCGUGGGUAACCUGCCUCAUACAGGGGGAUAACAGUUAGAAAUGACUGCUAAUACCGCAUAAGCGCACAGGGCCGCAUGGUCUGGUGUGAAAAACUCCGGUGGUGUAAGAUGGACCCGCGUCUGAUUAGGUAGUUGGUGGGGUAACGGCCCACCAAGCCGACGAUCAGUAGCCGACCUGAGAGGGUGACCGGCCACAUUGGGACUGAGACACGGCCCAAACUCCUACGGGAGGCAGCAUG